rnacentral:rRNA from 1 species
AGCAGCCGCGGUAAUUCCAGCUCCAAUAGCGUAUAUUAAAGUUGUUGCAGUUAAAAAGCUCGUAGUUGAAUUUCGGGAUCAAUACGUCGGUCGUGCUUCGGUACGUACUGGCGUAAUUGAUUUCUCCCUUCUGACGAACCAUGAUGUCAUUAACUUGGUGUCAUGGGAAAUCAGGACUGUUACUUUGAAAAAAUUAGAGUGUUUAAAGCAGGCUCACGCUUGAAUACAUUAGCAUGGAAUAAUGAAAUAGGACGUUCGAUCCUAUUUUGUUGGUUUUUAGGAUCAACGUAAUGAUUAAUAGGGAUAGUUGGGGGCAUUAGUAUUCAAUUGUCAGAGGUGAAAUUCUCGGAUUUAUUGAAGACUAACUACUGCGAAAGCAUUUGCCAAGGAUGUUUUCAUUGAUCAAGAACGAAAGUUAGGGGAUCGAAGACGAUCAGAUACCGUCGUAGUCUUAACCAUAAACUAUGCCGACUAGGGAUCGGAUGAUGUUAAUUUUUUAAUGACUCAUUCGGCGCCUUACG